CAUCGCUUGAGUUGCCGUUCGUGUUGUCACUGUCUAGGACGAUAAUGCAUUUCCUUGUUGAUCUGAAACUAAAAAUGUAGAGAAAAUGCCAGUUAAGACUAUCUGUUUGUAAUCUUAGGAUGGCGGCAUUUAUGCUAAGGAGAAACCGUAUCUUUAUGGUUGUAGUGAUAAUAUUUAGCCCACUUCUCUACCACAUCAUCACCGAGGAAAGCCGGGCUCAUUCUUCCAAUCAGCCAACAUUCACAAUAGAUGUUAACCUAAUCAAGAAACUUCAAAAGUUAAGACAAAGAUUACGAGAUGCAGAAUUUCAAAGCUCUUCWAGAUCUCAAGAACUUAUUUCAUUACAAGCACAGCUUGCAAAAUUAAUAGCAACUCAACCUAGACCAAACAUUAUUAAAACAAAUAACACCAAAAGUUUAGUAGAACCACUUGCAUCAAGYUCUGCUUUAAAUCUACCUAGUAUUUACCAUUUGAUGCCUCAUUUGAUGGACAAUCCAGACAGUUUGGUGCCAUCUCUACAAGUUAGUAAAGAUAGAGUUGGUGUUUCCCUAGUGUUUGGAAUUCCGACCAUCAAGCGUCAAAAGUCUUCAUACUUACUCAAUACAAUAUCAUCUUUACUGGAAUCAAUGACUCAAGAAGAUAAAGAUGACACUGUGAUAGUUAUUUUUAUAGGAGAGACUGAAGAAAAAUAUACAAAAGAAAUUGCAAAGUCUAUUAAGCAAAGAUUUUCUAAAGAUGUUGAGUCUGGUCUUAUUGAAGUCGUUGCUCCUCCUAAAACAUUUUAUCCAAACCUGGACAACAUACCACAGACAUUUGGUGACUCCAAAGACAGAGUCAAGUGGAGAACAAAGCAAAAUCUAGAUUUCUGUUUUCUAAUGAUGUACUGCCAGAAAAAAGCAAGGUUUUAUGUUCAGUUGGAAGAUGACAUUGUUGCCACAGCAUCUUAUGCCAGCACAAUUAAAACUUUUGCUUUUCAACAAGAAAGUAAUAGAUGGUUUAUGUURGAAUUCUCAUCUUUGGGGUUUAUAGGUAAAUUGUUCAGGACGUCUGAUUUAGCAACUUUGGUAGAAUUCAUUCUUCUUUUCUACAAAGAUAAACCUGUAGAUUGGUUGCUUGAUCACAUUUUAUGGGUUAAAGUUUGUAAUCCUGAGAAAGAUGCAGCCCAUUGUAACAGAGAAAAGAGCCAAUUAAGAAUUCGUUUCAAGCCUUCUUUGUUCCAACAUGUUGGUAAAGAAUCAUCUUUGGUGGGAAAGAAACAAAACUUGAUUGAUAAAGAUUUCAAGAAGUCAGCAUUAUUCCAUGCUCAUCUGAACCCCAAGGCGCAAGUAAUCACCACACUAGAGAGUUACCAGAAGUAUACAAUUGACAGAGCCUACACAGGACAGACAUUCUUUUGGUGCUAUCCUCCACUGUCAGGGGAUGUCAUUCGGAUAGCAUUUGCAGAACCGCUUAAGUUAAAAAUGUUUCGUUUCAAGUCUGGUAACAAUGAGCAUCCUGGAGAUGUCCUUCUUAAUGCUACAGUUGAAGUUAUGACAGAGAAAUCUAAAUUAACAGCCAAAAGACUUCCAGGAUUACCAGCAGAUGCUUCUCCUGAGGCAAAAAAGAAUUACACUAGGAAGGAGUACCCUAUGUCUGCAUACCAAAAUGUAGGAAAUUUUAAUAAUUAUGGCAUGGCAGAAAAUAAAGCAGUCAGUGAAAAGAUUGGCAAGGUUGUGGAACUGAGAAUACGAGUUCUUAUGCAUCAAAGUCCAAACUGGAUUAUCUUUAGUGAGAUUCACAUAGUACCACACAAGACCAGCUGACCAAAGACGAAUUUUAGUUAAUUAUUCAUUUAGUUAAUCACAUAAAUUUACAUAAUUAAUGUAGUAUACAUUAACAUUAUGCAGUCAUAAUUCAUGCGCACACUUUUCAUAUAUUUUCAGUUUCAAGGUUUGCAUUUUUUGUCACACAACUUUAAUAGUGGAUUUGUUAUGAUUUUGAAAUUGAUUCAUUGAAUAGGUUGUUAGAUACAAUUACUAACAGUAUUUUGAAAAUAGAUAUAUGUAAAAUAGGAGAGGGAGACCUUAAUCAGGACUAGCAUUAUACAUCAAAGGUCCAUCUAACACAGAUAUGCUUAGUAAUGAACAGACUGUAGCCUAUACACUUCCAAAUAGCUCUUUGGAAUAUACUAUGUAUUAUAAAACUGUUCAAUCAUGAAAAGAAGAAUGAACAAUCCAAUAAUGUAUGUACUGGUCAGUGUAAACUAGCUAGCGGUAAACUAUAGUACGAGCUGUGUCGGUGUUUCUAAAGAAACAGCUGUGCAAAAAAGAGUAGUAUAUAAAAAGCAGCUCAGACAGUUCAUUAGAAUAGCUAUCAAAAAAUCGAUAAAACAGAAAGAAUUUGGAUAUGUAACAAAUUAUAGAACAAAUUAUAUACAGCCUGAAUCAUCAUGUUAUCAUUGAAGGACAACAAUCAUAGGUCUUUCUAUUGGGUGAGUUGACAUACAUUUAUGACAUAGCUUUCUGCCCGGGAUUGCUUUUUAUUUACAUUUUGAAGAUAUUGCUUCUGGUAUAAUAAGGAUCAACCUAACUGUGAUUCCUGUCAAAAUGUUGUAAAGAGGCCCACAUUAGAAAUGUGUUCAGCACCCAACACUAAAUGAAAAGGUAGGACAUAAAUUACCCUGAACAAAAGUUCGUGGGUGGCAGUAUGGUAAGCCAAUAUUUACUGGGGUUUGCUAGGCGUCAUACAUAUGUAUCAAGGGGGAUGGGGGGGG